rnacentral:lncRNA from 1 species
GCACCGUAGUGCCCAUCCGGAUCCAUUGUAAUGAGCUGCCUCCAGUGCGCCCAUAGGGUGGGAACAAGGACCACCUAAGGGGGAAGAAUAGAGAAUAGGAUAGAAUAAACAAUAUAGGGGAUGGAUGGGAUCUAUAGGGAUGGAUGGGACACAUAGGGAUGGAUGGGAUCUAUAGGGGAUGGAUGGGAUCUAUAGGGGAUGGAUGGGACCCACGGCGCUGCAGGAGGGCGUUGGUGGCAACCGUAGUGCCCAUCCGGAUCCAUUGUAAUGAGCUGCCGUCCAGUGCGCCCAUAGGGGGAACAGGGACCCCACACUAAAGGGGGGACAAAACAUAGGGAUGGUUGGACUAUAGGGCAUGGAUGGGAUUAUAGGGGAAUAGAUAGGGCUCUCUCAGCGGCAUGAUGGG